rfam:Fukomys damarensis contig160522, whole genome shotgun sequence.
GUCUAGGAUUUAUUAAAAUCCACAAGAAAUACUAAAACAAGAAAUUG